rnacentral:rRNA from 1 species
CCUACGGGUGGCAGCAGUGAGGAAUAUUGGUCAAUGGGCGAGAGCCUGAACCAGCCAAGUCGCGUGAAGGAUGACGGCCCUACGGGUUGUAAACUUCUUUUGUCAGGGAGUAAUUUAGUCCACGUGUGGUCUUAGCGAGAUUACUUGAAGAAAAAGCAUGGCCUACCCCCGUGCAAGCACCCGCGGUAUUACGGGGGAUGCGAGCGUUAUCGGGUUUUAUUGGGUUAAAAGGGGGCGUAGGGGGAAUGUCAAGUCAGCGGUAAAAAUUCGGGGCUCAACCCCGUCGUGCCGUUGAAACUGAUGUUCUUGAGUGGGCGAGAAGUAGGCGGAAUGCGUGGUGUAGCGGUGAAAUGCAUAGAUAUCACGCAGAACUCCGAUUGCGAAGGCAGCAUACCGGCGCCCAACUGACGCUGAAGCACGAAAGCGUGGGUAUCGAACAGGAUUAGAUACCCCAGUAGUC